GUGCUCACUUUGUAGCAUGUAUACUAAAAUUGGAAGAGAAGAUUAGCCUGGCCCUUUUGCAAGGACGACAUGCACGUUCAUAAAGUGGUUCAUCUUUUU
rnacentral:snRNA from 1 species